rnacentral:lncRNA from 1 species
AAAUUCUCUGAACUGCAGUCCACAAAAACAACAGUGAACUUGACAGAGAAAAACAUGUGACUGUUGUUCACUUCUCUUCAAACUUGGAACUUACCUUACCUCCUCUUUGGAAACACAUGAGUGGAGAAGUUGACUUUGCAUUUCUGAAUGGCUUUGCCUCAGUAAUUGUGCUCCACUGUCAGGACUGUAGAGGCAUGAGGUGGAGCCCUGUACUUCUGAGAAAGG